rnacentral:rRNA from 1 species
CGGGGGGAGCAAGCGUUGUUCGGAUUUACUGGGCGUAAAGGGCGCGUAGGCGGCCACCGCAAGUCGACUGUGAAAUCUCCGGGCUUAACCCGGAAAGGUCAGCCGAUACUGCGGGGCUAGAGUGCAGAAGGGGCAACUGGAAUGCUCGGUGUAGCGGUGAAAUGCGUAGAUAUCGAGAGGAACACCUGCGGCGAAGGCGGGUUGCUGGGCUGACACUGACGCUGAUGCGCGAAAGCUAGGGGAGCGAACGGGAUUAGAUACCCCGGUAGUCCUAGCCUUAAACGAUGAAUGCUUGGUGUCUGGGGUUUUAUAGUCCCCGGGUGCCGUCGCUAACGCUUUAAGCAUUCCGCCUGGGGAGUACGGUCGCAAGACUG